GCUCCAAUAGCGUAUAUUAAAGUUGUUGCAGUUAAAAAGCUCGUAGUUGGAUUUCUGGUGGGAGGGAACCGUCCGAUCUCAGAUUGGUGCGUGUUCCUCUCCGGCCAUCCUUGAGUCUAACCUCCUUGGCAUUAAGUUGUCGAGGUGGGGAUACUCAUCGUUUACUGUGAAAAAUAGAGUGUUCAAGCAGCUUAUGCCGU
rnacentral:rRNA from 1 species